rnacentral:tRNA from 1 species
UGCGGGGUAGAGCAGUUGGUAAGCUCAUCGGAUUCAUAAUUCGAAGGUCGUAGGUUCAAAUCCUACCCCCGCGA